rnacentral:lncRNA from 1 species
GAGACUCAUUGGUAACUUAUGUAGCUUUGGAAGACACUUUCUACAUGUUUUUACAUCAUCAAAUUAUAUGCCUAUGUGCAUUUACGAUGAUGUUUUUACAAACUUAAAUACCCAUUCCACUGAAACUAUGGAAUCCUCUUUUAUAUUCCAUGGUUUAAGAACUCUAAGUGGUUCAGGGGCAUAUAAACCUUCUGGGGAUGCAUUAGAGAAGAAUAGUUGUUCAGGGGCAUAUAAAUCUCCCACAUCUUGUAGCUCUGGUAUAAUUUUUUGUUACUUUUCAAUUUGAACCACAUUUUAACUAUUGUUUUAUAUUUUGGCAUUGUUAUUUUUUUUUUAAUUUGGAAUGUUUUAUUAUUUAUUAGUGGUAAUGACAUUGAAUACUAGAUGUAUUUAUUUUUAAAUUAAUUUGUUGGAUUGAAUGGAUAUUAAUUAAUAUUAUUUUUUUAUUUUUUGACAAUAUUCAUUUUUAUUAAUUAAUUAAAUUUGUAAUCAGGAAUUCAAAAAUAAAU